GACGAACGCUGGCGGCGUGCUUAACACAUGCAAGUCGAACGGAAAGGCCCUGCUUUUGUGGGGUGCUCGAUUGGCGAACGGGUGAGUAACACGUGAGUAACCUGCCCUUGACUUUGUGAUAACUUCAGGAAACUGGGGCUAAUACCGGAUAGGAGCUCCUGCUGCAUGGUGUGGGUUGGAAAGUUUCGGCGGUUGGGGCUGGUCUCGCGGCUUAUCAGCUUGUUGGGGGGGUUGUGGAUUACCAAGGCUUUGACGGGUAGCCUGCGUGAGAGGGGUACCGGACACAUUGGGACUGAGAUACGGCCCAGAAUCCUACGGGAGGCAGUAGUGGGGAAUAUUGCACAAUGGGCGGAAGCCUGAUGCAGCAACGCCGCGUGCGGGAUGACGGCCUUCGGGUUGUAAACCGCUUUCGCCUGUGACGAAGCGUGAGUGACGGUAAUGGGUAAAGAAGCACCGGCUAACUACGUG
rnacentral:rRNA from 1 species